UGCCUAGGUGGGGUCCCUGGGCAAAUUUGUUUUGAACCACUGAACAAGAUUGUUGAUGAUGCAAUGAUAAUUCUAUUGAUUUAUGACAUUCUGGUGAGCAAGGCUUUAUUUAGUGUUCUAGAUGAGCACCAGGUAAUGACAGAAGAGAUGCUGCAUGUAUCUAAUCAUAGACAAGUUUACUAACAGCCUACCUAAUGUCAGAAAUUAAAAAAAUCGGGAAAAAAUAUUUCUGCAGUCUCUGGGCAAUUUAGGAAUAUUCUGUUAUUCGUGCAUACAGGGAUACUUGUGAGUAUCCAGGACCUCUAUACCAGGUGGUGUCAGAGGAAGGCCCAAACAAUUGUCAAAGACCCCAACCACCAAAGUCAUAGUGUGCUCUCUGCAACUGAACGGCAAGUGGUACCGAUGCACCAAGUCUGGAACCUACAGGACCCUGAACAUCUUCUACCCCUAAGCCAUAAGACUGCUAAAUAGUUAGUCCAGAUAGUUAAAUAGUUAACCAAAUAGCUAUCUGCAUUGACCCUUUUUGCACUAACUCUUGACUCAUCACAUACGCUGCUGCUACUGUUUAUUAUCUAUUCUUAUUUAUCCCCAGGUAUAUGUACUGUACAUAUCUACUUCAAUUACCUUGUACCCCUGCACAGUGAGUCGGUACUGGUACUCCGUGUAUAUAGCCAAGUUAUCGUUACUCAUUGUGUAUUUAUUCCUCAUGUUAUUAUUUUUCUCUCUGCAUUGUUGGGAAGGGCUGUAAGUAAGCAUUUCACUGUUUCUCUACACCUGUUGUUUACAAAGCAUGUGACAAAUAAAAUUUGAUUUGAUUUGAAAGGCCUUAAACGUCUUAUCCUGAUAAGACCUUAACCGGGAUAUGAGCCAACUUUGAAUGUGUGUAAGCUGUAACGAACACAAUGAGGGCGUCUGCUAAAAGACUAAACUAUGACGAAUCAGAAGUGAAUGAUUUUUGUUUCCUCAUUUCUUCUCUGUUAAUUCAUGAUUGAACAAACAAGACAUAUAUAAACCAUAUAAAAGAGCCAUGAUGUCUGAGGUGCUGAGUACAGUGGAACUCUGAUUUCUCACUGCUAAUUUCCUGCAUCAUAUCGGGGCAGACGGGUUGCCUUCCACAUUAACAAUGUUCCAGUGCUGUUGUUGUAGAGACAACAGUCUUAUUUACAAAGCAGAGGUGUUCACUGGAGAAAUGCUGUACGCCGGCACAAUGAACAGUAUCUAUAUACAACUCCGUGGCACAAUGGAUUCAAGCCAUCGCAUCUGCCUCCCAAAAAGUAGAUUCAUUGGGGGCCACCCCCGAGGGGCUGUGAGUAACCCAUUGCUACAACUUUCCUUCCUUUGACCAUCUGUCCAUUUGGGUGACAAAAUCUAAAUC